rnacentral:rRNA from 1 species
UUACCUACGGGACGCAGCAGUGGGGAAUAUUGCACAAUGGGCGAAAGCCUGAUGCAGCAACGCCGCGUGAAGGAAGAAGGGUUUCGGCUCGUAAACUUCUAUCAACAGGGACGAAAGAAAUGACGGUACCUGAAUAAGAAGCCCCGGCUAACUACGUGCCAGCAGCCGCGGUAAUACGUAGGGGGCAAGCGUUAUCCGGAAUUACUGGGUGUAAAGGGUGUGUAGGCGGCAUGGUAAGCCAGAUGUGAAAGCCUUGGGAUUAACCCGUGGACUGCCUUUGGAACU